AUUGAACGCUGGCGGCAGGCUUAACACAUGCAAGUCGAGCGGGGUGAUGGUGCUUGCACUAUCACUUAGCGGCGGACGGGUGAGUAAUGCUUAGGAAUCUGCCUAUUAGUGGGGGACAACAUCUCGAAAGGGAUGCUAAUACCGCAUACGUCCUACGGGAGAAAGCAGGGGAUCACUUGUGACCUUGCGCUAAUAGAUGAGCCUACGUCGGAUUAGCUAGUUGGUGGGGUAAAGGCCUACCAAGGCGACGAUCUGUAGCGGGUCUGAGAGGAUGAUCCGCCACACUGGGACUGAGACACGGCCCAGACUCCUACGGGAGGCAGCAGUGGGGAAUAUUGGACAAUGGGGGGAACCCUGAUCCAGCCAUGCCGCGUGUGUGAAGAGGGCCUCAUGGUUGUAAAGCACUUUAAGCGAGGAGGAGGCUCUUUUGGUUAAUACCCAAGAUGAGUGGACGUUACUCGCAGAAUAAGCACCGGCUAACUCUGUGCCAGCCGCCGCCGUAA
rnacentral:rRNA from 1 species